AGAAAGAGAGAGAAAAUGGCGUUUAAUCUAACGCAUCAGCUCGGAUCUCUCGCCGGAACUCCGAUCCAGUCCGGCGAAAUGACCGCACCAACUGUUGAAUCGUCGCUAUCCGUUUCACCACCGUCGGCGAGGAUGCCUAUAUCGAUGAACAUGAAUUACAAUACGAACAGAAACGUAUCUCCGCCGAUGAGCCCGGUUCUGGGAGCGAGGCGAGCGGAUCUGUCCGUGGCGUGUAAAGCCUUCGCGGUGGAGGAGGAGCAGAGGACGUACAAGGAAGGAGGGAUCGGAGGAGAGAAGGAGAGGGGAGGAGGAGGAGGAGUUCCGGUGUUCGUGAUGAUGCCGCUUGAUAGCGUGACGAUGGGGAACACGGUGAAUCGGAGGAAGGCGAUGAGAGCGAGUCUUCAGGCGUUGAAGAGUGCUGGUGUUGAAGGGAUCAUGAUCGACGUGUGGGGGGUUUGGUGGAGAGAGAAGCUCCUGGGGCUUAUAACUGGGGAGGUUAUAAUGAGUUGCUUGAGAUGGCGAAGAAGGUUGGACUAAAGGUUCAGGCUGUUAUGUCGUCAUCAGUGCGGGGUAACGUUGGUGACUCUGUCACUAUUCCUCUGCCUCAGUGGGUUGUUGAAGAGGUUGACAAGGAUCCAGAUCUUGCAUACACUGAUCAGUGGGGAAGAAGGAACCACGAGUAUAUCUCACUUGGCGCUGAUACGCUCCCUGUUCUCAAAGGUAGAACACCCGUGCAAUGCUAUUCCGAUUUCAUGCGUGCUUUCAGAGACAACUUCAAGCAUCUUCUCGGAGACACCAUUGUGGAAAUCCAAGUGGGAAUGGGACCCGCAGGAGAGCUGCGUUAUCCUUCAUACCCCGAGCAAGACGGAACAUGGAGGUUCCCGGGGAUUGGAGCCUUCCAGUGCUAUGACAAGUACUCGUUGAGCAGCUUGAAAGCAGCAGCUGAAGCUUAUGGAAAGCCAGAGUGGGGUGGUACUGGCCCUACCGAUGCUGGCCACUACAAUAACUGGCCAGAAGACACUCAGUUCUUCAAAAAAGAAGACGGUGGUUGGAACACAGAGUACGGAGAGUUCUUCCUCACGUGGUACUCCCAGAUGUUGCUGGAUCACGGCGAGCGUAUCCUUUCCUCAGCCAAAUCGAUAUUCCAAGACACAGGUGUCAAAAUCUCGGUCAAAGUCGCUGGAAUCCACUGGCACUACGGGACACGCUCUCACGCCCCUGAGCUCACAGCAGGAUACUACAACACUAGGUUCAGAGACGGAUACCUCCCGAUCGCUCAAAUGCUAGCCAGACACAACGCCAUAUUCAACUUCACGUGCAUCGAGAUGAGAGACCACGAGCAGCCUCAAGACGCGCUUUGUGCACCAGAGAAGCUAGUGAACCAGGUGGCUCUAGCUACUCUAGCUGCAGAAGUUCCUCUGGCUGGUGAAAACGCAUUGCCUAGGUACGAUGACUACGCACACGAGCAGAUUCUCAAGGCGUCUGCACUGAGCUUUGAUCAGAACCAAGAGGGAGAAAACAGAGAGAUGUGUGCGUUUACGUACCUGAGGAUGAACCCGGAGCUGUUUAAGGCGGAUAACUGGGGGAAGUUUGUAGGGUUUGUGAAAAAAAUGGGUGAAGGGAGAGACUCUGAUAGGUGUCGGGAAGAAGUGGAGCGUGAAGCUGAGCAUUUUGUGCAUGUUACUCAGCCUCUGGUUCAAGAAGCUGCAGUGGCUCUCACUCACUAGAAAGAGAGAUUGUGGCAUGGUUCGACCCAAUGGUUUAUGUUUGUAUGCGAUGUGAUGACAUGAUUACUAUGAUGAUGCCGAAAAGAUGUUUAGGCUAAGGUUGUGUAUGUAUCGGCGGUAUAAAAAAUGAUUAUGGGCCAUAGCUGUGGUUUUUUGGCUCAGGGUUGUGGCGUUUGUACUAUUUCUGAUACAUACUAGAAUAAUAUGUAUAUGUUUUCUUCUUUUUGUUCUUAUAUAAUAGCAUGAGGAAGAUGAUUUCAGUCUUUUACUUAAUAAUAAAAGUCAU